rnacentral:rRNA from 1 species
CAGUAGCCGCGGUAAUACGUAUGUCACGAGCGUUAUCCGGAUUUAUUGGGCGUAAAGCGCGUCUAGGUGGUUAUGUAAGUCUGAUGUGAAAAUGCAGGGCUCAACUCUGUAUUGCGUUGGAAACUGUAUAACUAGAGUACUGGAGAGGUAAGCGGAACUACAAGUGUAGAGGUGAAAUUCGUAGGUAUUUGUAGGAAUGCCGAUGGGGAAGCCAGCUUACUGGACAGAUACUGACGCUGAAGCGCGAAAGCGUGGGUAGCAAACAGGAUUAGAUACCCGCGUAGUCCCUGUCUCUUAUACA